GGCAACCCGCUCGGGUCCCCUUCCACCCCGGAAGUUUUGUUCUUUCGCUUUUUGUAAUAAGUCAUGCUGUUGCUCACUGGGUCCACACUGCUCUUGUGAGCUGUAACACUCACCGCAAAAGUCUGCAGCUUGACUCCUGAGCCAGCGAGACCAGGAGCCCACCAGAAGGAAGAAACUCCGAACACAUCUGAAUAUCUUCUGGAAGGAACAAACUCCGGACGCGCUACCUUUAAAAACUGUAAUACUCACCGCAAGGGUCUGCGGUUUCAUUCAUGAAGUCAGUGAGACCAAGAACUCACCAAUUCCGGACACAGUGGGAGCAAAGGCAUGGCAGGAGGAGAAAACUGCGUGUGUGAGGAAUAAAAACAACAUGUUGCAAUUGAGGAAGGCGUGAAUUUAUGGGGAGAAUACAGAGAUGAAGACUUAAAACGAAUACUUGCUUCUGGAAUCCAGCGGCCAUGUUGUGAGGAAGCCCAAACUAGCCCAUGCCAAGACACCACAUGGCGAGGCCACAUGCAGAUCAGAGUCCCAGCCAGCAGUUAGCAUCGACCAGACAUGGUGUGUCUGCCUCUCCUGCUUUCCCUUCCACCUCUUCCACCUCUUCUGCCUCUGCCACCCCUAAGAGAGCAAGACCAAUCUCCUCUACCUCCUCCUCCUCAGUCUACUCAAUGUGAAGACAACAAAGAUGAGGAACUUCAUGACUGUCCAUUUUCACUUAAUGAAUAGUAAAUAUAUCUUCUCUUUCUUACAAUGUUCUUAAU